AUUGAACGCUGGCGGCAGGCCUAACACAUGCAAGUCGAGCGGAUGAAGGGAGCUUGCUCCUGGAUUCAGCGGCGGACGGGUGAGUAAUGCCUAGGAAUCUGCCUGGUAGUGGGGGAUAACGUCCGGAAACGGGCGCUAAUACCGCAUACGUCCUGAGGGAGAAAGUGGGGGAUCUUCGGACCUCACGCUAUCAGAUGAGCCUAGGUCGGAUUAGCUAGUUGGUGGGGUAAAGGCCUACCAAGGCGACGAUCCGUAACUGGUCUGAGAGGAGGAUCAGUCAAUUGGGAAGUGAGACCCGGCCAACGCCACUGGGGGGGGCAGCAGGGGGGAAUAUGGGAAAAGGGCGGAAAGCUUUACCCAACAAGGCGGGGGUUGUAAAGAGGGUUUUGGGUUUGAAAAGAACUUAAGGUGGGGGAGAAGGGGUUUAUUUUAAUACCUUGCUUUUUUGACUUCACCAAAAAAAGAAGCCCCGGCUAUCUACGUG
rnacentral:rRNA from 1 species